rnacentral:lncRNA from 13 species
CAAGCAGGUGUCAGAGAAACACCAGACUAAAGGAGCUAUCUAUUGCUGUGCAAGCUUUAGUCAAGAUGUCAUUUCAGCUGGCAGCCUGAGAUGUCCAAAGUGUUCAUAUGAAGCUGUGAGCUCUGACAGGUGUAGAGACCCUGCCCAGAAUAGGAUAGAGAAAUGUGAAGCAAAGGAGAAAAGUUCACAGAAAAGAUACAGGGAGCUGUGAGGCUGAGGAAUUUUAAGAAGAUGUGAGAGGAAAUCAGAAUGCGGAAAA